CCUACGGGUGGCAGCAGUGAGGAAUAUUGGUCAAUGGGCGAGAGUCUGAACCAGCCAAGUCGCGUGAAGGAUGAAGGCUCUAUGGUUUGUAAACUUCUUUUAUAUGGGAAUAAAGCGAGGAACGUGUUCCUUUUUGUAUGUACCAUAUGAAUAAGCAUCGGCUAACUCCGUGCCAGCAGCCGCGGUAAUACGGAGGAUGCGAGCGUUAUCCGGAUUUAUUGGGUUUAAAGGGUGCGUAGGUGGGUUAUUAAGUCAGUGGUGAAAGUUUGCGGCUCAACCAUAAAAUUGCAGUUGAUACUGGUUGACUUGAGUAUAGUUGAGGUAGGCGGAAUGCGUGGUGUAGCGGUGAAAUGCAUAGAUAUCACGAAGAACCCCGAUUGCGAAGGCAGCUUACUAAACUAUAACUGACACUGAUGCACGAAAGCGUGGGGAUCAAACAGGAUUAGAUACCCAAGUAGUC
rnacentral:rRNA from 1 species